CGGGUGAGUAACGCGUAUGCAACUUACCUAUCAGAGGGGGAUAACCCGGCGAAAGUCGGACUAAUACCGCAUGAAGCAGGGGCCCCGCAUGGGGAUAUUUGCUAAAGAUUCAUCGCUGAUAGAUAGGCAUGCGUUCCAUUAGGCAGUUGGCGGGGUAACGGCCCACCAAGCCGACGAUGGAUAGGGGUUCUGAGAGGAAGGUCCCCCACAUUGGUACUGAGACACGGACCAAACUCCUACGGGAGGCAGCAGUGAGGAAUAUUGGUCAAUGGCCGAGAGGCUGAACCAGCCAAGUCGCGUGAGGGAUGAAGGUUCUAUGGAUCGUAAACCUCUUUUAUAAGGGAAUAAAGUGCGGGACGUGUCCCGUUUUGUAUGUACCUUAUGAAUAAGGAUCGGCUAACUCCGUGCCAGCAGCCGCGGUAAUACGGAGGAUCCGAGCGUUAUCCGGAUUUAUUGGGUUUAAAGGGUGCGUAGGCGGCCUUUUAAGUCAGCGGUGAAAGUCUGUGGCUCAACCGUAGAAUUGCCGUUGAAACUGGGGGGCUUGAGUAUG
rnacentral:rRNA from 1 species